CCCAGCAAGUUUAAAUACAACAAUAUAACGAUAUAUCAUGAUUGAAGAGUAUGAAUAAUGGCUUGCUAUAAUUCAUCAAUAUAAUUGAGAACUAACACGAACAAAUUUUUGACUGAACAAGUUUUAAACAUGAACACACAUUUCUGAACCAACUGGUAAUGAAGGUGAUCAGCCUUUCAUACCUGACUUAUACAUGCAAGAUGUACAGAGUACAAUUUUCAUGGCAAUCAGCAAUGAUUAACCAUAAGCUUGAAUAAAAC
rnacentral:lncRNA from 1 species